rnacentral:lncRNA from 1 species
UCUCUCUCUCCAUCUCUCUCUAUCUCUCUGUAUCUAUCUCUGUCUCUCCAUCUCUCUCUCGCUCUCUCCUUCUCUUUAUACAUCUCUCUCUCUGUAUCUAUCUCUGUCUCUCCAUCUCUCUCUCUCUCUCCCUCCCUUGCUCUCUCUCUCCAUCUCUGUGGAUAAAUCAGGAUCUCUCAACUUGUAAAUCAACAGGACAGGAACCUCCAAAGGUUCCUGAACGCACCCUGUCUGGUUGCCAGGCGACGAAGCUAGGCGGGAGAUCUCUCGAUUACCCGCACCUGCAGCUCAUCAGCUAUCUGCACACCUGGUCCUGAUCAUCACCUCUUCACUUUAUAAGCUCUGACCUGACAUCCAUUCCCUGCCGGAUCGUUAGCAAUGAACAUCAUUCUCCCGGAACAUUCAACCCCCCUGCCUGGUCGUCGGUGGCUUCUGUGACAUCAUUGGAUCUGCCUAUUCACUCUCAUCAACUCACCUCCGCUGCGUCUCCUGGAUUAUUCUGUUUUCACCUUGACUCUGUAAAUAAAU